rnacentral:rRNA from 1 species
UACACCCUCAAGGUCACAAAGAUGCUAGUUGAAGGCGGGGCCGGCUUGAACCUGAUCUCGUCCGCGGUGCUCCAGAAACUCCAGAUCCCCGACAGCGAGCUCGAAGAGAUCGGUACAUUUCAAGGAAUCAACCCGGGAAGGAGCAAGCCGAAGGGAAAGAUCACGUUGCCGGUAACAUUUGGCAGCGAACUGAACUUCAGGACUGAGAGGGUCACAUUUGAUGUUGCCGACUUUCCAUUACCUUACAAUGGAAUCCUUGGCCGUCCGGCACUCGCCAAGUUCAUGGCAGCCUCUCAC